UAGUCUGCAACUCGACUACAUGAAGCUGGAAUCGCUAGUAAUCGCGAAUCAGCAUGUCGCGGUGAAUACGUUCCCCGGGUCUUGUACACACCGCCCGUCACACCAUGGGAGUUGGUAACGCCCGAAGCCAGUGACCCAACCGGAAACGGAGGGAGCUGUCGAAGGUGGGACCGAUAACUGGGGUGAAGUCGUAACAAGGUAAC
rnacentral:rRNA from 1 species